CACGGCCCUGAUGUCUUCCUCGUGAGCCCGGACCCCUGGAAGACUCUUCAUCACCAUCAUCAGGUCGCCCAGGGUCAGAGUCUCAAUAGGAGUAGUAUCUGCUGCUGGGGGGAGCAGGCCUUCUUAAGCCUCUCCAGACUCUUCCUGUCCACCCUCUUCCCAGGCAGGCUCUCCAGGAGACGCUCCAGGGGGACGGAGGACAGACGGAGAGACGCCAGAGACUGGAAGAUGGCCUCCUCACACAGCGACACGUCUGAGACAGUGAGGGAGAGAGAGAGAGAGAGGACACUGACGUUACAUCCUGGUACUUAGAUAUCAAAUCACUAGAUGAUGAGCACCAGUUGACAUGAAGACCUCAACGCCUGUGGAGAAGCACCUCAAUCUCCCCCCUGAUACGGCUCACUGUGAUACGUCACCCAGCAGACCAGCUGUGAUGGAACAAAGGUGUUCUGUGUGCAUCGUUCUGCUUCUAGAACCCAAUACUGUGUUUGGUCUCCUGGGAGACUAAUCAGGCUCACUCUGAUGUGGUGUGUGUGUGUGUGUGUGUGUGUGUGUGUGUGUGUGUGUGUGUGUGUGUGUGUGUGUGUAAUGGAGGGUAUCCAGUCAUUACCAGACCAGAUAAUGAAAACAUCACUUCCUCUCACUUCUUUGUUCCAUCCCAGCGGCGACACACUCAUUUCCCUCACAGCCUCUCCUCCUUCCUCCUUAUGUACUUCUGGCUUCGUUCCUCAGUCUGUAGUUGACUCCUAAAGU